rnacentral:rRNA from 1 species
GACGUAGGGCGCGAGCGUUGUCCGGAUUUAUUGGGCGUAAAGAACUCGUAGGCGGCUUGUCGCGUCGGCUGUGAAAACCCGCGGCUCAACUGUGGGCGGGCAGCUGAUACGGGCAGGCUGGAGUUCGGUAGGGGAGACUGGAAUUCCUGGUGUAGCGGUGAAAUGCGCAGAUAUCAGGAGGAACACCGGUGGCGAAGGCGGUUCUCUGGGCCUUACCUGACACUGAGGAGCGAAAGCGUGGGGAGCGAACAGG